rnacentral:lncRNA from 1 species
AGGUGCCCUGGAACUAGCCUAUCUUUAGUCCUCUUUAUGACUUGAUGAAGUCAGUAAGAAGAUUUUUGACUGUUGGUUAAUCUUUUCUUCUUUUUUUUUUUAAAUAAUUAACUAAAUCUUCUAAAUUAUUAGGUCCUUAAAAUGAUAAUAUUAAGGAGAUAACAAAGCCAUAGCCUCCCAUUAAGGUGAAUGAUAAUCAG